UUUUAAACAUUUAUUUAUUUAUAACAAAAAACAAAUAUACUUAAUAUGGAAUACAUGAUAUUCAAAAAGGUUGAUUUACGAAAGGAAAAACUUCUAAUCGGCUGUUUUGUAUGAUUAUGUGAAAGUUAGGGUAUGAUAUAAUAUAUUUUUUAUAUAAACGACGUGUUGUGGUCGAAUUUGACAGCUAUUUGGAGUCUAAAUACAAUAUUAACGCCACCUAUUGUCUCACAAUAGAUUUAUUAUUAUAUUUAGACAUGUUUUUUUUUAUUGUGGCCGUGUCAAAUUUGUAUAAUCUGUAGACAAGAAUAUUUUAUAGUAUAACUUGAAAUAAUAUAUAUAAGAAUAGCCAUAAAAUCUAACACAAAGUAAAAAAAUCCUAUUGCAAAUACCAUUUACAGUGUAUUAGUUUAAUACAUAAAUAUAUUUAAAAUAUAAAAAGCUUAAUUGAAGUGGUCACCAUUGGCUGCUAUACAGUCCUUCAAACGUUUAGACCAGAUAUCAAUAGAAGCACGCACUCUUUCCAUGGGAAAAUUCUUCACUGCCAAUCGUACACGAUGUCCACACUCUAUUUUAAUAUCACAAAAUAUUGUACAAUAUAUUGGCGCCAAAACGAGAAACGCAAUGAACAAUCAUAUAAAAAUUAAACCUAUUAAAAUAUAAUAUUUUGCUAAUUUUUAAUAGUAACAGUAUUUAUGGCCAGACUUAGUAUAUACUGUAGAAUCCGGUUAUAACGACGGCCACGGUAUAUUACGUACUAAACAAACUAACAAAAUUUGGUUUUUAUUAAAAUAAUGAAUUUACAUGAUCAUCACAGAAAAAAUAACAUUUAAAUCAAACAGAUUAAUUAUUGUUAUACGAAAUGUAAUUUUAUUUUCAAUAAUAAACAUACUAUCUAAUCGGUAAUCUAUACUAAAUAACAACAAAAUAACUAGAGCAAUAACUAUUUUUUAUUGUUUUUUAUUUCUAGUAAGAAGUACGGAUUACAUUAUGCAAACGAAAAUACUUUUUAUGUUGUUGUCUUCAAAAUAAGAAUAUGUACAUACAUAUUACCCUAAAAUUUUACAUUGCCAAAAGACUCGACUUAAUGGGCGAAAUACCUCAGCAUUGUCCCGAAGUGAAAAUGACUAUGGAAGAAUAUUGACAAAUGACAAUCUAAUUCUGAAGUUUGGUCCGUAAGGCGCGAAAUCGAUAAAAAUGUUUUCAGUAGAACCGCCCAUUCAUGAAAUAAAAGAUUUUUCGUUAAUUUAAAUUGAAUUAGGAGACAAUUUAAGAUACUCUUGCCACGAAAUGGAUAAUAUUAGCUUGGAAUUAUUUGAAAAUCUUGAAAUUGAUUCAAAUAUGUUGAAUGGAGCCUCAAAUAUAUCGAAAGAUAAUUCGACAAUUUCAAACAAAUCUAAAGAGAUAACAAAAAUUACACAAAGCCAAAAAAAGAAAGGAAAAGGCAAGAAAUUUGUGCCUCCGGUUAAAACUGCUCCAGAUAGUAUUGUAAAAAUAUCGAAUGUAGAGAAAAGUGUAUUAAAUGAUAUUAAUACGGAAUAUAAUGAUUGUAUAAUUCCCUCCGAGAAUGUCAACGAAAGUAAUAAUAACUUUACAUUUGAUGGUAUUAUAUUGAAUACAUUAAAUAUCCUCAAUGAUGAGGAUAUCCAGCUGUCAAGUGCAGCAGUUGCCGCGUCGCAAACGUCAGUGGCGUCUGACAUUUCGCUAAAGACGUAUAGAGAGGAGAAGAGUUUCGAGGAUUUGAAAAUGGUACGAAGCGUUGUCGAUUUUUACCGCCUUUUUAAUACGCAAUACGAAAGUGACAGUGUUUCGACGCGUAAUGACAAUUUGUCGCAAACGUCAGAGGCGUCUGUCACUUCGCUAAAGAAGUAUAAAGAUAUGGACGUGAAGAGUUUCGAGGAUUUGAACAUGGAACGCGACGUUAACCCCCCUCUUGAUGGGACACAAUUCGACAGUGACAGUGUUUUGACGAAUGACAAUUUGCAAUUAGACAAUGACAGUUUGCCAUUUGUACCUAUGUCUAUAAACAAAGGCGAUAUAGGUAACGAGAGAUACUUCUCUGAGCACGUCGAAGACCAAGUUUCUGAUGAUACAGAGAACGUUGGGAAAAUAUUAAAACUGUAUCCGGAUGAGAAUAAAUUGUAUAAAUUUUAUAUGAAUGAAAUAUAAAGCUCAAUUAGUUGAA